UACGGAGGAUGCGAGCGUUAUCCGGAUUUAUUGGGUUAAAGGGUGCGUAGGCGGACUGUCAAGUCAGCGGUAAAAUUGAGAGGCUCAACCUCUUCCCGCCGUUGAAACUGGUGGUCUUGAGUGGAUGAGAGGUACGCGGAAUGCGUGGUGUAGCGGUGAAAUGCAUAGGUAUCACGCAGAACUCCGAUUGCGAAGGCAGCGUACCGGCAUCCAACUGACGCUGAGGCACGAAAGCGUGGGGAUCAAACAGG
rnacentral:rRNA from 1 species